GAUUAGUGGCGAACGGGUGAGUAACACGUGGGCAAUCUGCCCUUCACUCUGGGACAAGCCCUGGAAACGGGGUCUAAUACCGGAUAACACUCCUGCCUGCAUGGGUGGGGGUUAAAAGCUCCGGCGGUGAAGGAUGAGCCCGCGGCCUAUCAGCUUGUUGGUGGGGUAAUGGCCUACCAAGGCGACGACGGGUAGCCGGCCUGAGAGGGCGACCGGCCACACUGGGACUGAGACACGGCCCAGACUCCUACGGGAGGCAGCAGUGGGGAAUAUUGCACAAUGGGCGAAAGCCUGAUGCAGCGACGCCGCGUGAGGGAUGACGGCCUUCGGGUUGUAAACCUCUUUCAGCAGGGAAGAAGCGAAAGUGACGGUACCUGCAGAAGAAGCGCCGGCUAACUACGUGCCAGCAGCCGCGGUAAUACGUAGGGCGCAAGCGUUGUCCGGAAUUAUUGGGCGUAAAGAGCUCGUAGGCGGCUUGUCGCGUCGGAUGUGAAAGCCCGGGGCUUAACCCCGGGUCUGCAUUCGAUACGGGCAGGCUAGAGUGUGGUAGGGGAGAUCGGAAUUCCUGGUGUAGCGGUGAAAUGCGCAGAUAUCAGGAGGAACACCGGUGGCGAAGGCGGAUCUCUGGGCCAUUACUGACGCUGAGGAGCGAAAGCGUGGGGAGCGAACAGGAUUAGAUACCCUGGUAGUCCACGCCGUAAACGUUGGGAACUAGGUGUUGGCGACAUUCCACGUCGUCGGUGCCGCAGCU
rnacentral:rRNA from 1 species